rnacentral:rRNA from 1 species
AGUGAACGCUGGCGGUAGGCCUAACACAUGCAAGUCGAACGGCAGCACAGUAAGAGCUUGCUCUUACGGGUGGCGAGUGGCGGACGGGUGAGGAAUACAUCGGAAUCUACUUUUUCGUGGGGGAUAACGUAGGGAAACUUACGCUAAUACCGCAUACGAUCUACGGGUGAAAGCAGGGGAUCUUCGGACCUUGCGCGAAUGAAUGAGCCGAUGUCGGAUUAGCUAGUUGGCGGGGUAAAGGCCCACCAAGGCGACGAUCCGUAGCUGGUCUGAGAGGAUGAUCAGCCACACUGGAACUGAGACACGGUCCAGACUCCUACGGGAGGCAGCAGUGGGGAAUAUUGGACAAUGGGCGCAAGCCUGAUCCAGCCAUACCGCGUGGGUGAAGAAGGCCUUCGGGUUGUAAAGCCCUUUUGUUGGGAAAGAAAAGCAGCAGGUUAAUACCCCGCUGUUCUGACGGUACCCAAAGAAUAAGCACCGGCUAACUUCGUG